rnacentral:snoRNA from 1 species
UACCCGCUUUUCACUUUGCCAAACAGACGUAUGUCUUUACUGGUCACUCAAGUGGGCCCAAGGAAAUACCCUUUUAAAACUAAGCAAACCGAGUCUCUUGUAUCCUGUCAGAGGCAAAAACU